rnacentral:lncRNA from 1 species
UCAAAUGGGAGAUUCGUUUAAUAAACUCAUCUCUUAUAAUGAUCAUGGUAAACUUUAACGAAGAACUACCGUUUGUGUGACUAGGUAAUCCAUUAGAUAGAUCCAAGUAUAGGCAUGUUAGAAAGUUGUAACACAUUGAAUCUACAAUCAGGUGUGGAUUUUAACAUUAAAUAAAAAAAACCUAUAUUUGAUGAGAAUACUUUAUAUAUCCAUUAGAGAGAUAAAAC